rnacentral:rRNA from 1 species
AUGGCUGCCGCGGUUCGUCCGGAUCCGCGCCCUCCCCAGUUGCUCGCUCACCAGGAGAAGAGGAGGUGGCAGCCACUACUGCCGUUGUCGUGCGACCACAGCUCCUCUGCCCCGACCCCGUCAAGGUGCCCUCCUCCCCCUUCUCGAUUCGAUGUUGCUUGUGUUGCUCUCUUCAUGAAGCUCCUCUCUGCUGCAGCUCCUCCGCAUCCUCUCCCCGUCGCGGUGCAGCUCGGACAAACUGAUCGGGAGGGGAUGGAGGAGCUGGACAUGGACGUAGAGAAGGCGGCCAGAUCCGAGUUCGUCCACCCCUACUGCUACGAGGACCGUGACUCGCAUCCUUGUGUUGGCACCUCGAUGAGGAGCACCCCUUCGAGCCUAACACCAUGA